GCAUGGAUGAUCUCAUCUGAUGGAUCAGGCAUUGAAAAUCCUGGCUGAUCCACACCUGAUUCAUCUUCACAAAUGUCAGUCUCUUCACAUUUUUGGUGGAAAGGCGAGUUCUCCUUGGGGGAACUAUGCCCCCUGCCAAACUAAACACAUGCUCUGAUGCCACACUACUGGCCG